CGAUUUAAACCAAUUAUUUUCCAUGCCCUUAAUGCCGUAUGUGUUUAACCACAGUUAAUAGAAUACAUGGUUUGGAGACUCGAUGAAAGUACACGUCACAUGUGUAUUGCAUUUUUUCCCGCACAACCAAUAGCAAUGUUUAAAUUGAGCAUUUGUUCAAGUUACGAAUGGAUAACUCAACCACAAACUUGUUAUUGGUUAUUUGAGCGAAAAUACAAUACACACGUGACGAGAUAGGACCAAAUUCUUGCAUAAAGCUGGACAAUAACAUAGUUGAGUAUAGGUUAUUUUGAGGCAACGAGGGGAUAUGUGAUUUAUUCACCGAGGCGCGCAGCGCCGAGGUUAAUAAACACAUCAAUCCCCGAGGUGCCUCAAAAUAACGUACUUAUUUUUCACAUUGCAAGGUCGCGUUAAUGAGUCAGAAUAUAAAUAAUUCUUAAUGCCAUAUUGCCUUCGUGAUGUUGUUUUCUUCUCAUUUUUUGUGCUGCAAAGACAUUGCAGGUGAAUAUUAGAGGG